UACGUAGGGGGCAAGCGUUGUCCGGAUUUAUUGGGCGUAAAGAGCUCGUAGGCGGCUUGUCGCGUCGACCGUGAAAACUCGCAGCUCAACUGCGAGCCUGCGGUCGAUACGGGCAGGCUAGAGUUCGGUAGGGGAGACUGGAAUUCCUGGUGUAGCGGUGAAAUGCGCAGAUAUCAGGAAGAACACCCGUGGCGAAGGCGGCUCUCUGGGACGGUACUGACGCUGAGACGCGAAAGCGUGGGGAGCGAACAGG
rnacentral:rRNA from 1 species